AUUUUGUCCAGGCAGGACAGACGUUUUAAAUCUCUGUUACAAGUUUCUUAUCAAACUCUAUCGAGGUUUCAGAAGCAGUGACGUUGUCGACGCCAGCUUCUUUUUCGUCCGUCGUUAACGUUUCACAAUUAUCUGAGCGAAGACUGCAUUAAUUGAUGAAGUUUCAAUACUAAAUUCAGUAACCUGCAAAAGAAUUAAGCGUGAAGAUGUUGCAUAGGGGAAUCAAAUCUCAUGGUGAGAUUUUCCCUUGCCAGUGUAUGGGGCCAUGAGAUUAGCAAGGAGUGAGGGAGUCUUGUUUCAUUUUUUAAG